GUCUCCUGUUGAAUUCGCUCUCUACCUGUUCUCACUCCUCCAGCUGGUCUGUGGAGAGCGAGCAGCUGCGACAGGUCACCCCUGAGGCUGGAGGAAGGGCUCUCCUGUGGGUGAAGUGUCCUGGGCUCCUGUUGGUGCUGAUGAUCACAGGCCUUUCCCCUGAGUCCUUGAGCUGGGGGGGGGGAUCAUGAGGACCACCUGGACACUCAACACAGUCUACAGCCUCACCAGCAUGAGAGCAAGAGGCUCUGCAAGCAGAGUGCAGACCGGUUGGAUUCUCACCUUCGAACUGACCGCUCAUCUGUCCAGUUUCACGCCACACGGG